GACGAACGCUGGCGGCGUGCCUAAUACAUGCAAGUAGGACGCAGUUGCGAACGGGUGAGUAACGCGUAGGUAACUACCUAUUAGAGGGGGAUAACUAUUGGAAACGAUAGCUAAUACCGCAUACUAGUAGAUGGACCUGCGUUGUAUUAGCUAGUAGGUAGGGUAAUGGCCUACCUAGGCAACGAUACAUAGCCGACCCUGGAAGGUGAACGACCACACUGGGACUGAGACACGGCCCAAACUCCUACGGGGGGGAGCAAUAGGGGAACUUCGGCAAUGGGGCGAACCCUGACCGAGCAACGCCGCCGGAGUGAAGAAAGUUUUCGGGUCGUAAAACUCUGUUGAUUAGGGAGCGGUACUUAACCAGAAAGGGACGGCUAACUACGUGCCAGCAGCCGCGGUAAUUC
rnacentral:rRNA from 1 species